GAGUUUGAUCCUGGCUCAGGAUAAACGCUGGCGGCGUGCUUCAGGCAUGCAAGUCGAACGGACACUUCGGUGUCAGUGGCGGACGGGUGAGUAACACGUAAGCAACCUGCCCAGAAGUGGGGAAUAACUAGCCGAAAGGUUGGCUAAUACCGCAUGUGAUGGCUCUCCUCUGGGAGAACCAUGAAAGGCACUUGUGUCGCUUUUGGAGGGGCUUGCGGUCGAUUAGCUAGUUGGUGGGGUAAUGGCCUACCAAGGCGACGAUCGAUAGCUGGUCUGAGAGGACGGUCAGCCACACGGGGACUGAGAUACGGCCCCGACUCCUACGGGAGGCAGCAGCUAGGAAUCUUGGGAAUGGGCGAAAGCCUGACCCAGCAACGCCGCGUGAAUGAUGAAGGCCUUAGGGUCGUAAAGUUCUUUUGCCAAGAGGGUGACCUCUUGGAGAAUAAGCACCGGCUAACUCUGUGCCAGCAGCAGCGGUAAUACAGAGGGUGCAAGCAUUGUCCGGAUUUAUUGGGCGUAAAGCGUUUCGUAGGCGGAUUUGCAAGUUAUUUUUCAAAUACCAAGGCACAACCUUGGAAAGGGGAAUAAUACUACAAGUCUUGAAUUGUAUCGGGGUUUUCGGAACUUGCGGUGUAGGGUGAAAUCCGUUGAUAUCGCAAGGAACACCAAGGGCGAAGGCAGAAAACUAGGUACCAAUUAACGCUGAGGAACGACAGCUAGGGGAGCGAAAGGGAUUAGAGACCCCUGUAGUCCUAGCCGUAAACUAUGCUCGCUAGGGAUGGGCCCCUUAAAAGGUCCGUUCCGUAAGUUAACACGUUAAGCGAGCCGCCUGGGGAGUACGAUCGCAAGAUUAAAACUCAAAGGAAUUGACGGGGACCCGCACAACCAGUGGAGCAUGUGGUUUAAUUCGAGACGAACCGAAGAACCUUACCUAGGUUUGACAUGCUAGAUGCAAUCUUCCAGAAAUGGAGGACUCUUUCGAAGGUUCUAGCACAGGUGUUGCAUGGCUAUCGUCAGCUCGUGUCGUGAGGUGUUCCCUUCAGUGGGGUAACGAGCGCAACCCGCGUCGUAUGUUAAAUUGUUCAUACGAGACUGCUCUGCUAUGCAGAGAGGAAGGCGCGGAUGAUGUUAAGUCAGCAUGGCCUUUAUAUCUAGGGCGACACACAUGCUACAAUGAGGCCGACAAUGGGUUGCCAACCGGUAACGGGGAGCUAAUCCCAUCAAACGGCCUCUCAGUGGGGAUUGGGGGCUGCAACUCGCCCCCAUGAACGCGGAAUUGGUAGUAAUCGCAAAUCAGCUAUGUUGCGGUGAAUACGUUCUCGGGUCUUGCACACAC
rnacentral:rRNA from 1 species